rnacentral:rRNA from 1 species
CCUCUCGAAGUUUAUGGGAGGUCUAGCCUGCCCACUGAAGGAUAUAAAGGGCCGCGGUAUUUUGACCGUGCAAAGGUAGCAUAAUCAUUAGUCUUCUAAUUAAAGGCUGGAAUGAAUGGCUGGACGAGGUAUUAGCUGUCUCUUAGGGAUAAAUUUGAAUUUAACCUUCUAGUGAAAAGGCUGGAAUGAAAUUGGAGGACGAGAAGACCCUAUAGAGCUUUACACUUUCCUGUAUCUCAAUUCGUUUAGUAGGAGUUAAUUUUUGUGGAGGGAGUGUUUCGUUGGGGUGACGAGAAGAUAGAAGAAACUCUUCUUUAAAUAAGACACAACUAAGUGAUUAAUUGAUCCAUUUUUAAUGAUUAAAAGACUAAGUUACCUUAGGGAUAACAGCGUAAUCUUUUUUGAGAGUUCUAAUCGACAAAAAGGGUUGCGACCUCGAUGUUGGACUAAGGAUUAUUCUUGGGUGCAGAAGUUCAAGGUUUAGGUCUGUUCGACCUUUGAAUCCUUACAUGAUCUGAGUUCAAACCGGAGA